UACAGAGGGUGCUAGCGUUGUUCGGAAUCAUUGGGCGUAAAGGGCGCGUAGGCGGUCGUGACAAGUCACUUGUGAAAUCUCCGGGCUUAACUCGGAACGGUCAAGUGAUACUGUCGGACUAGAGUACAGAAGGGGCAACUGGAAUUCUCGGUGUAGCGGUGAAAUGCGUAGAUAUCGAGAGGAACACCUGCGGCGAAGGCGGGUUGCUGGGCUGAUACUGACGCUGAGGCGCGAAAGCCAGGGGAGCGAACGGG
rnacentral:rRNA from 1 species